rnacentral:rRNA from 1 species
GAUGAACGCUGGCGGCGUGCCUAAUACAUGCAAGUCGAGCGAACAGACGAGGAGCUUGCUCCUCUGACGUUAGCGGCGGACGGGUGAGUAACACGUGGAUAACCUACCUAUAAGACUGGGAUAACUUCGGGAAACCGGAGCUAAUACCGGAUAAUAUAUUGAACCGCAUGGUUCAAUAGUGAAAGACGGUUUUGCUGUCACUUAUAGAUGGAUCCGCGCCGCAUUAGCUAGUUGGUAAGGUAACGGCUUACCAAGGCAACGACGCGUAGCCGACCUGAGAGGGUGAUCGGCCACACUGGAACUGAGACACGGUCCAGACUCCUACGGGAGGCAGCAGUAGGGAAUCGUCCGCAAUGGGCGAAAGCUUGACGGAGCAACGCCGCGUGAGUGAUGAAGGUCUUCGGAUCGUAAAACUCUGUUAUUAGGGAAGAACAAAUGUGUAAGUAACUAUGCACGUCUUGACGGUACCUAAUCAGAAAGCCACGGCUAACUACGUG